UGUCCAGGGGCGGGAAUCGAACCCACAACCUUCUGCUUACCGGGCAGGUGCCAUGUCCACUAGGCUAGCCUGGAC